GCACAUUAAUAGGAUUUACUGAUCAAACUAUAUUCUACAAGGAAGUCUGGCUGAAUACACUGUUACUCUACAUAAAUUGUUGGAAUUACCCUAAUUUUCAGAAAAGAUGCUUUGUUAUCAGUGUCAUGGUUUUCAGUACUUGCUUUUUUGUUUUUUAAUUAUAAUUUCCCACAAAUGUAAAUUUAUAUUACAGUGCUUUAGGUUGAUAGUUAUACUUAAAGACACAUGCAUUUCGAUUCAAAUAUUAAUCUUUCACGGAAUUUCCGUCGUGGCUCAGUUGUUAAUGAAUCCGACUAGGAACCAUGAGGUUGCAGGGAUUGAACAUGCGUCCUCAUGGAUACUAGUCAGAUUUGUUUCCGCUGAGCCAUGACAGGAACUCCAAUCAAAUUUUAGUUUUAAAAAAGGACAUUACAGCCUAAUGACUCAGUACUUUUUUCUCAGGAAGGUGGCAACAGUAGGGUAAGGCAAGUUAUGGCAUCAUUUCUCCCCCUACAAAGUAGACCACAAUCAAAAGACCUUGAAGAUCACUGUCUUUUUUACUGUCUUGGCUUUAAUUCCUACCUUCCUUAUCCAAAUACAUACACAUUGUCACUUUAGUCUGUACUACCUCAAAGUGAUCUUUUUUUUGCACGAAAAAUUUAGUUGUUUCAUUUCUGUUGCUCAGAAUAUUUCAGAGUUUCAAUAUUACCUUUAGCAAUGACCAACACAUUUUCAGUGUGUUUCGCUUUAAGAAUAAAUUAAAAUAACUAAAGCUUGUGACUUUCUUCUUAGAAAGACAUAUACAUAUGCACAUAUAUAUGAUACAAUUUUAGAGGUUUCACAACCCCCUUGAAGCCCAUCUGCAUAUCUUCUAAGGAUUCCUCCGUCAGUCUAUACAAUUUAAAAAUUGAAUCUCCUUUGAAUAGCAUGAAAGAUCUUUUGCUACCUAGCCAAACUCCUCACUUUCACUCCCCACUUUAAAAAGAAUUUUCAGAACAUACCAUGUUCUCUCAUAUACCUCCUUUAAAAGAAAAAAAAAAAAAA
ensembl:lncRNA